GGGACGUAAACAAAUGGAAAUGGCGGCGACGACGCUCGGCGGACAAAAGAUGAACAAUGUGACUCGGCGGCGAAGAUGUCAGCACGCAAAAGACGAUUCAAUGUCCGCUUCCCACCGGCUCGCAUCAAAAAGAUCAUGCAGAAGAACACAGAGGUGGGAAGGAUUGCCAUGGCGGUGCCUGUGAUCAUCUGUAUCCUUUACGUUAGCGUCCUUUGCCUGCGAUUUAACACUUUCGGCAUGAAUUACAAUGGAACCCAAGACGUCUAGAAAUCCUCCGUUUUUGCGUUUUCUUUCUAUACUUAGAUGACAGCUAAUAAUAUGAAUAUGUGACACGAAACAAGCUUUUAUGAUGGCGUUGUGGGCUAAAAACGGGGGUCACCGCUUUCUAAAUCAGAAGGGCCAGCACACAUCCGUCCGUGUUGUCCAAAAAUGACUCCAGCCCCGGUCAUAUUUCCCGUCCAAAUAUUGUGGAACAUAAAACGACGCUAUUACUGUUAUUUGGCCAGAUCUUUGUACCUUUAGAUUAUUUGAUCACUUUGUGACCUUUAACGUUUCAGAAAAGAAAUAAAAGCCAUCUUUUUCGCUCCGUCAGCUGAAAAUCGGAUCGGGACAUCCCCAACUACUACUAUUGAUUAUAUUUAGCGUAAGCAAAAUGGAGGGAAAACAAAGAAAUGGCCACUGUUUUAUCCUCGGCUAGCAUAUUUCCAUUUCCUAUGGGGACGAAUAGCGGAUUGCGUUUGACCUCAGGGCUUGCCAGUGUAUGAAUUAUUAAUGAGCAGAAGAACACGUUUGAGGCGCCGACGUCCUGAGCCGAAGGCCAGCUCGAGUUCUCGGGAUGUUCCUCAAGUCUCUGCUCACCGAAACCCGCUCGAUCGGAGAGGCCGACCUCGGCGGCAUCUUGUCGCCGGGGUUAGGUAACCGUGGCAACUGCGGUCAGCGCCAAUCCACGUGUGUGUUUGUAGAAAGCGGCGCAUCGAGUCGCAGAAGCUCUUCCGCUUCCUUAAGGAUGCGGCGGCGAGAUUCACGUUGCCGAGCGAACGGGACAACAGAGGUCUGAAUGUGUGGCCAGAAUACACGUGAGGGGAUUGACGAACACCGUUUCCACUCUUAUUCCUAAACUCGUCAACCGAGGUGGAACUGAUGUGAUUUGCAGGACCGAAGCACCUGAAAAAAGAGCGAAAGUGGAAGAGGCGACGCCGCGGAGAAGCCCGGACUCGCUUAGCGAUGCCUCCAGCUCGAGCGUAAAUAAUUCACGCUCAAAUUCGUUCCUCCCGACUCUCAUAUUGUAUUACGCAUUAUCAUCGGGAUGUCGGCUUUCGUGGCGUUUAUGUCCGAGUUUUUGGUUUCACGGCGAGUCAAACUUUGCCGCCGUGCUGCACCCACACGCAAAAACGCAAAUGUUUUAGAAUGUAGCCUCGUGCACAUGCUUCACAUUUCAAAGCCCCUGUGACAAUUUCCAAUUUCUACAAGUUUGUCUUUUUGGGCACCUUUUUGCGGGUCGACUCGUUAUACCGAAUUUCAUGUUGCUAACAAGUGAAACCGGGCUGAAUUUUUGGGGUUACAUUUUAGAGGCUUGAAACCAAAAUGUCAGAUUGCCUCUCGAGACUUUUUUUUAUAUAUUUUUUUGUAUUGAAGAAAGACACGCCUACCAAAUUUCACGUGCUAAGUGAAGCUGGCCUUGGGGACGGACAUUUGAAAACGGCAGCCCUCCUGUGUCUUUUCGGGCACGGCUUCUUGACCUUUUCGGCGGCCAAAUUUCCUGUUGCAAAGCGAAACCGGCUGCGGGGGCCUGAAUUUUUAAAGCAUUCAAACGAGCCUUGAAAAUAAUCGAACGGACCGUGCGACGGCAGACGGCGGCGCCUCAAGACGUUCCGGUGGGACUUCUGAUGAUAGACGCCGCCUUCGGAGUUUCAGCUUGCCCAGUCGAACUGGCUUCAGGGGCUGAAUGCCCGGAGAAUCGCAGACGCUGAGAGCAGGUGUUCUUUCAAGGCGCAGCAGUGCCACCGUAAAUAUGACCUCUCCUCUCUUUUGCAGGAGUCUGAGCUCUUCACCCGCUUCCUUUUAGACAACAAAUUGAAGAUUCAGUCGUAUAUUAGGAGUGCAAAAAGUACCGUUUGAUGUCCUCUGUUGUUUUGGGGGUGAAGAAAUAGCAACUUUUUAGUUAUGUGGAUGUUUUUUCGUUUGUUUUGGACAUUUGAGGGUGUCGAUUUGCACCAAUCAUUUUCUUGUUUUGGCUUUAUGAAUUACAUUGUGUUUUGAGUUGUCUUUUCAGCCGUUUACUCAUUGGAGGUUUGCAUUUUUGGAGCGUUUAAUUUUUAAAACCUUUUUGUGUGCGGGAACGUGGAGGUGAGUUCAGAUGGCAAUAAAUAAAUACAAGCGCAAA